GUGACAAAAAAAUUUACACGAAUCAAAUUAACUCGUAAACUGCUCGUGUCCAAAGAUAUUUCUAUUUAUCGAAAUUUGAAGAUCAAAAACAGAGCGGCAGAAGAUGAAGAAGAAAUUCGGAGGGACAAAGCCAGUAGGAACGCCGUCAUUGGGCUGGUCAAGUGUCGUCGUAAUUGUCUCUCUUCUCGCCGGCGCCUCUGUCGUCCACAACAUCUAUAAGCCUGAUUUGACUCUCCCUCCAAUAGAUAGUGUUGGUGCAGCCAAACCAGGACAACCUGAAUAACAUUGAAGUCCUCUUACCAUUGGAUCAUUUAUUUUUGACAGUUGUAUUAAAGUAUACUAGAGAAAUAAAAAUAAUUAUAAGUAUUGUUGUUUUUUAGUUGCUGAUCGAAUUUUGUAGACAUCUAAUCUAAGCAUAUCUGGAUUCGAAUUACUUCUUCUUUUUUCUUAUAUAAGCCUUUUCUUUUGUAGACA